AGCCCUGAGGUGUUUUUACAUAUUAGAUUGCAAAUCUAAAGAAGCUAAGCUAGACGUUUGCCGGGGCUU
rnacentral:tRNA from 1 species